ensembl:lncRNA
UUAGACCGCAAGCCACUCGGGAGCCCGAAAUCAACUGGGCCACGUGCAGUUCAGUAAAUCAACUGGGCCACGUACAUUUCAGUAAAUCAACUGGGCCACGUGCAGUUCAGUAAAUCAACUGGGCCACAUGCAGUUCAGUAAAUCAACUGGGCCACGUGAGGUUCAGUAGAUCAACUGGGCCAUGUGCAGUUCAGUAAAUCAACUGGGCCACGUACAGUUCAGUAAAUCAACUGGGCCACGUGCAGUUCAGUAAAUCAACUGGUCCACGUGCAGUUCAGUAAAUCAACUGGGCCACGUGAGGUUCAGUAGAUCAACUGGGCCAUGUGCAGUUCAGUAAAUCAACUGGGCCACGUACAGUUCAGUAAAUCAACUGGGCCACGUGAGGUUCAGUAGAUCAACUGGGCCAUGUGCAGUUCAGUAAAUCAACUGGGCCACGUACA